GGGAAGAAGGAGUCGGGCGUCGCCUCCAUCGUCGCCCUCGCUGCGAACGGCGAGGUCAAAAAGAAAAAGAAGAAAAAGAAGGUCAAGGACGCAGACAAGGCGGCGGCCGCGUCGGUGGCCAAGGUCGGCGGCUCCAACUGGGCAGCGCUCAGCACGGUGAGCACCCGGGAGGGAGCGAUUACUUUUCCCGAAUCCCCACCGCACCGCCGGGGGGCUCCCGAGGAGCGCCGAGGGGUCGACCUUGACGACGUUCACUCCACAAUUUCUCUCUGACCUCAACAUCGUCCCAUCGUAAAUCCGCAGAAAAUCGGCGCGGGCAAGAACCCAAAGGCGAAGCG
rnacentral:lncRNA from 1 species